rnacentral:tRNA from 1 species
GAGGGUAUGGCCCAGUGGUACAGCACAUGCCUAACAUGCAUGAGGUCCUGGGUUCAACCCCCAAUACUACCA